rnacentral:rRNA from 1 species
AUACGGAGGGUCCAAGCGUUAUCCGGAAUCAUUGGGUUUAAAGGGUGCGCAGGCGGUUUAUUAAGUCAGUGGUGAAAUCUCGGGGCUCAACCUCGAAACUGCCAUUGAUACUGAUAAACUUGAGUUCAGUUGGAGUAGGCGGAAUGUGUAGUGUAGCGGCGAAAUGCUUAGAUAUUACACAGAACACCGAUAGCGAAGGCAGCUUACUAAACUGAUACUGACGCUGAGGCACGAAAGCGUGGGGAGCGAACAGGAUUAGAAACCCGAGUAGUCC